UGCUCAUAGCCUCAUGUAAGGUAAACUCAUGGCACUGAAUGCUUUACAAGAUAGUAAAUACGGAGCCACUAUGUUCAUAAAUUUAAGACAAUCUAUCAAUCUUCUUUAGGUGAGCAUUGUAGCAGCUGGAACUGACACCUGUAAGGACGACAUUCGGGCGAAUGUUCGCCCUUCCAUUGUAAAAAUCUGUAUAUCCACAUGUCCUCUCUUUUCUUCCAGGAACUAAAAUGUAAAGCAUUUUACGCUUUUUCUUUUGAUGUAUAUAUGUCGGGAAUCCGUUCCCUCUGUGUAAAAUUACUCAUGUAUUAAAACCAUUUAUGAAACUGAUAUCUGUCAAGUGAUUAUCAGGUGCUAAAAAUGUAUUUAGGAUGUUUGGCCAGUUACACACUGGCUGCAGGAGAAACACUUGGUGAGACUAGCCUAGCGCGGCUAGCGGACGCUACUUUACUCAGUGACUAUAGUGGAGUUUGAGCUGUUCACGUACCUGAAAAAGUUCGUCUUUCUCUUCUCUGGCGUUAGAUCAAAGACGUUAGAUGACACGAACAUAAGGCUGUUAAGAAGAGAUGUGUGUAUAUUUCGCUUCACCGGCUACCGGUUGCCGUUGUCUUCUUCAGUAGGAUUAACAUGGUAACCAAAGCGAAUGGUGUGGUCUCGGCUUUUACACUCAUUCGUUCUGCGAUUUGUUUUUUAUAGCCGACAUGUGAACAGCUUGGAUCUGGCCUUCUGUGAUUGUUGAUUCUGCAACAGUGGUGAAAUCAUCAAAGCUGAUGACCUUGACACUAUCAUCUGCGCUACCUGUGCUACUGCUUGCCACGGCCAGUUGCUGAAAAAAAUUAAAAGGGGAAAAUAACAAAGCUGCAGCAGCAUCCAUCUGCCUACCCACCAUUCAUGAUGCACACACCCAGAGGCCUGGUUCUUCUGGGUGGAGACCAUCUUCAGAUCCAAGAAAAUCAAACCCUCAUCUCAAAAAGCCCAUGCCGUCCUCAAAUUCCUGCUGGACAACAUUCUCAAGCAGAUUGAAGAGUGGCUACCCGAACCACAGACCACCGUCACAUGUGAGAAACUGGAGGCACAACUAAGGUCAUCCUUCAGCAUACCCCCCAACCCUCUGAGCUAGGAAAUUACUAGACAACACAGGAGCAGCAAUAUGAGACCAGCAGCCACCACACGUAUACAAACACCUACAGUGAUUGAUGAUAAUUCUUGGUGCAGAUAAUCAACCAGAAAUGACAUUAGAACUGGUGAGAGAAGUCCUCCUAAUGAAGCUGCCUCACUGAACAGUAACCGCAAAACCCAAUGUAUCCACCAUUCCCCUCAACGAGCGUCGGAGAAUGGUGGAUGCAGUGCUUCAUCGGAACCCUCUCAACCACCUGCAGCAGCAGCCACUCCCAAACCAAAGCAUCAAAGUAGGACAGAUGAACACAGCAAGCCAGAGGACCUCGCCACUCAUGUGACUACAGGAGGGAGAACAAACACAAGCAUAAAACCAAAGAGAAGAAUGUCCAAAGGGCCUAUGUUUCUUCCACUGUAGAUUUGGGAGUGAGGCCCAAAAUAUGAGAAUGGCUGCCUGUUAAAAAAAAAAAAAAAAAAAAAAAAAAAAAAACUUUGAAGAGGGUCACAGUAGUGGCCCAAACAAUUAACCACCAGCAACAUUGGCAGAAAGGUUGCCUCAUAAGAGGAAAUGAGUCUCCUUUCACUUUCUUCCAGGUACAGACAUAAAUACUAAGUGUUUUUACAUCACUGAAGCAACAUCAAACAAUUCCUCAUUGACAAGGGUGAGUGCACAAGUCAUUCAUGCCAGCCAACCCCCACAAAUGCCUUGACCCCACCUCCAGCACACACUAGACAUCCUCUGCCAGUUGUGCCCCGCUCUAAGUUUAUGGAAGCCAAACAAUGAACUUGAAAUUCAGCAGCAAACAGUACACCAGAAAAUUCAAAACUGCAGACCACAAUCACUCAACUUUGUCCACUAGCAUUUUGGCCUUCAGGAAAUCUGCUCAAAGCCAGACACCAACUGGUUUCACAGGAUGACCCUAUAGCUCCCAUCACUCCAGUAGCAGCAGCAAAGAACAGGAAUUCCCCAAAAUAUUUGAAGACACCCUCCUAUGGCACUUACCUGAUUUUCCUUUUUCAAUUCAAUAUCUGAUGUAAUACGAAUAGUUUUUGUGUUAGAUGAAGUGGCUGAAUUCAGCACUGCAGUUCCAUCUUGUGUUCCACCCUGGUCAUCUGUCAAAAAUCCCACUGGAAGAUUUUGUCCCAUCCAUAUCAACUGACCUUCAUCAUUUUCAACAAUAUUGUGGGCAGUUUUCUGUAAUGAAAAUUAUAUGAAUUAUAAAUUUUAAUUACUAAAGGGACUCUUAUAACCUUAAAACAAUCAGAGAAAAAUGCAAAAGUAUGCCUUGUUCAAGCACACUUGUUAUUAAACAAAACUAGCAUCAAAAUUUAUCUAAAUGAAAGAGCUAAAAGACAAAAAGGUGGGAACUUCUCAAACACACAAAUCAUGACAGUACGUGAGAGGUGGCUUUAUGCACUUACGAUAACAUACCAAACAUUACUCGGAUAUCCUGCUGUCUGAAUGGUUUAGGGCAUGCUGCAAAACUCCAAGUGACCACCUAAGCAGGUUAUGCAGCAAGACAACAAAAGUAUUGAAAUAAAGGAAAAGGCCUUAAAAUUUGCAUCACUAAAUCACGGCUUCUUGUGAUUGUGAGAUUUGUGUAGGGAUCAUGGAAUCCUCCACAUAAUAAUGGCUGGGGAAACUGCGGAUGACACAAGGGACUGAGACCUUUAUGAAUAAUUCAUUUCACAUCAUAAAUUAAAAAGCAUGAUGCUUGCUCAAAUCUGUAAUAUGGAUGUGACUAAAACUUUUGGAAAUCUUUCCCAAAACACUAGUUGAAGGUGGUUCUUGGAAAACUACAUGAAUGAAGCAAAAAAAAAUUAAAAAUAAAUAUAUAUAAAUAAAUAAAUAAAUUAUA